GAUGAACGCUGGCGGCGUGCCUAAUACAUGCAAGUCGAGCGAACAGACGAGAGUGCUUGCACUCUCUGACGUUAGCGGCGGACGGGUGAGUAACACGUGGGUAACCUACCUAUAAGACAGGGAUAACUUCGGGAAACCGGAGCUAAUACCGGAUAAUAUUUAGCUUCGCAUGACGCAAUAGUGAAAGACGGUUCUGCUGUCACUUAUAGAUGGACCCGCGGUGUAUUAGCUGGUUGGUGAGGUAACGGCUCACCAAGGCAACGAUACAUAGCCGACCUGAGAGGGUGAUCGGCCACACUGGAACUGAGACACGGCCCAGACUCCUACGGGAGGCAGCAGUAGGGAAUCUUCCGCAACGGACGAAAGUCUGACGGAGCAAUGCCGCGUGAGUGAAGAAGGUUUUCGGAUCGUAAAACUCUGUUGUAAGGGAAGAACAAGUACGUGAGUAACUGAACGUACCUUGACGGUACCUUACCAGAAAGCCACGGCUAACUACGUG
rnacentral:rRNA from 1 species